rnacentral:sRNA from 1 species
GCCUGGCAUGGUGGUGCACACCUGUAGUCCCAGCUACUUGGGAGGCUGAGGUAGGAGGAUUGCUUGAGUCCAGGAGGUCGAGACUGCAGUGAGCUGUGAUCUGGCCACUGCACUCCAGCCUGGGCGACAGAGCAAGACCCUGUCUCAA